rnacentral:snoRNA from 1 species
UGGAUCGAUGGUGACUGUGGGUGGUGUAUGAGUUAUAGAUGAUGAAUAUGUGUGAGUGCUUCGAGGUUCGUCAAAGAGGGCACAUGGCCCAUUCCCUCUGAUUCAA